rnacentral:rRNA from 1 species
UGGGGAAUAUUGGACAAUGGGGGCAACCCUGAUCCAGCCAUGCCGCGUGAGUGAUGAAGGCCUUCGGGUUGUAAAGCUCUUUUGGCGGGGACGAUGAUGACGGUACCCGCAGAAUAAGCCCCGGCUAACUUCGUGCCAGCAGCCGCGGUAAGACGAAGGGGGCUAGCGUUGUUCGGAAUUACUGGGCGUAAAGCGAGUGUAGGCGGUUGCCGUAGUCAGGUGUGAAAGCCUUGAGCUCAACUCAAGAAAUGCACUUGAUACUGGGUGACUAGAGGACCGGAGAGGAUAGUGGAAUUCCCAGUGUAGUGGUGAAAUACGUAGAGAUUGGGAAGAACACCAGUGGCGAAGGCGGCUAUCUGGACGGUUACUGACGCUAAGACUCGAAAGCGUGGGGAGCAAACAGGAUUAGAUACCCUGGUAGUCCACGCCGUAAACGAUGGGUGCUAGACGUUGGCGAGCUUGCUCGUCAGUGUCGCAGCUAACGCGUUAAGCACCCCGCCUGGGGAGUACGGCCGCAAGGGUUGAAACUCAAAUGAACUGACGGGGGUCAUAGCUGUUUU